rnacentral:piRNA from 1 species
UCUCAUGGUGCCAGGAAGCAAACAGAAAGA